rnacentral:sRNA from 1 species
CACUCCCCACUGGAUUGAAAAGAUAAUCAGAGAACAAGAAAGAUGUUCAUAGGCAUCCUAAAAAGACACAUUGUAUCCCAGGAGUCCCAGAAUUUCCUCCCUGCAUGAAGGGCUGUGGAAAAGCCCAGAAAAAUACUUAAGAAGAUUCAACUGUCUGACCUCUGGGUGACCUUGAAGCUCUGAACAAAGGCAGAUAUUAUGAAUUGUAAGAUUGUUACAGGUUGCCUCAGAACAAAGAAAUCCCCCCCACCCUCUUUUUCUUGGAAUGUGUUUCCCGGCCUUUGCCACAGCUCUGGGUUAUACUGUGGGGCAGUUUCAAUACACGGACAGUUUACAAUUCUGUUAUAGCCAUCGCGUUCACGAAGGGUGUUAAGAAGCAAAGUCAACCAUAAGCCCCGCCUGCCCAAGGACCAGGUAACUGGAAUGCUGGGAGUUGCAGUUCUUUAAAUGCCGCAAAGCCACGUGGGAAAUACGGUGGUCAUGUGGUUUUGCCCUUGAAACAUGUGAACUGUUUGUUCUCUUUCGAAUCUCAGGACCUGGCUAUGAUUCACAGAACUCAUUUGAAAUGUUGCAAGGAAGCCCACUUAUUUCUGCAAUUAAUACACCCCUUAUAAACGCUGCCUUGUGAUAGAUAAGAAAGCAGACACUUCAGGCAAAGAAUCUCCUUGACAGAAUUCACACAGCUAACCAAGUGUUCACUGCGGCCCCAGCCUCGCUAUGCCCACUUGCCACAUGGUGGGGAAUGACAAGCCAACCAUGUUUUAAACCGUGGAGGUGACAUGAGUGAAGGGACGCUGAUGAUGAACAAAGAAGCAAACGGGAUAUCCUAAAGUUACAGAAACACCAUGGAGAAAAGCACAUCAUGAAGGGAAGAACAGCAAGCGCUGGACCGCCAGUGUUCCCAGGCCACCUAACAUGAAAGAAAGCGCUAUACCGACAUCUGGGCCGAGCGGUCCAGAGAGAGCGAAGGUGUGGAGGCCUUGAGGCAGGGGAAGACAUACUUUUAAGAAGCAACAGCAGGAACCUGAUGAAGGUCAGAACAUGCGUGUAGCCAUGAAUGGGGGUGCGUGCAUGCCUGCAAGCCCAGAAGUCAGGGAGAUCACUGCACCCUUUCGAGCAAGGCUAGCCUAGGCUAUACCAUGUUGGUGAGAGACCAACACGGAUAAACACUGUCUCAAAACAACAAAAACAACCCAGAUAUCCUUCGCGUCAGCCAGUGAUCCGUCUAGCGUGCCUUUUAUUUGUACAGUGAAUCAACACAGGAUUGUUGACUCGAGCAGAGGAGAAGCAGGCAGGUAGAACAUGCUCAGAGCUGAAAGGGACGUGUUAUUUUCAUCACCUAAAAUCAAUACAUGAUGAUGCAAGGAUUAAAAUAACCUGGCCUCCAACAGCCGGAGCGUGCUGUAUUUGAAGAUUUAUCUAUUAACAGGUUGAUAUCCAAAGUUUAUCGGGAGCUACAACCCAAUAUUUGAAACCUGAAGUGAUAGAGUUGGAGUCGGAAAAGAUGCUUGCAGACAGGAGCCCAGAAUAACUGUCUCCUGAGAGGCUUCAUUCAGCAGCAGAUAGAGGCAGAUGCAGAGAUCCACAGCCAAGCACUAGGCAGAGUUCCGGGAAUCUUCUGAAAGAGUAGAGGGAAGGAUCGAGGGAGCUGGAGGGGUCAUGGACACCACAAGACCUGCAGAGACAACUAACCUGGACCCACGGGGGUUCCCAGAGACUGAACCACCAACCAAGGAGUGUGCACGGGCUGAACCCAGGCCCCUUACACAUUUGGAGCAGAUGUGCAGCUUGGUCUUCAUGUGGGUCCCCUAGCAAUU